AUACGGAGGGUGCAAGCGUUAUUCGGAAUCACUGGGCGUAAAGGACGCGUAGGCGGGUUGGCAAGUCAGAUGUGAAAUCCUACAGCUUAACUGUAGAACUGCAUUUGAAACUGCUAACCUAGAGUAUGAGAGGGGGAGAUGGAAUUAGUGGUGUAGGGGUAAAAUCCGUAGAUAUCACUAGGAAUACCGAAAGCGAAGGCGAUUUCCUGGAACAUAACUGACGCUAAGGCGUGAAAGCGUGGGGAGCAAACAGAAUUAGAUACCCUAGUAGUCC
rnacentral:rRNA from 1 species